CGAGUUGUGUCAAAACGGAGAGCGACUUGGCAAAAUGAAGCUCGGUCACCUGUUGAUGUUCGUGUUCACCCUGCUGGCGCUGGUGUUCACAGGAACAGCUGAUCCGGAGCCUGGCGGCAAAUUCAAAUUCCGAGGCCAUCAUGGGGGGGGAGGACAUCGCGGAGGAUUCAGGGGCGGCUUCAAGAAACCACUUAAGUUUAAAGGCUGAGGACUUGCCGGGCUUCCCUCGAGACUCCAGGACACAACGACACAGAAUAUAGGAGAUUUCUAUUCUUGAAUUUUCGUCACAUUAGGAAAUGGAGGCUUUGAGGAGCUUCCGUGAACAAAAUGAGGUAGAUUAAAAGAGCAAAUUGGA